rnacentral:misc_RNA from 1 species
UACGUAUGGACCGAGCGUUGUCCGGAAUCAUUGGGCGUAAAGGGUACGUAGGCGGCCUAUUAAGUUAGAAGUGAAAUAAUAUAGCUCAACUAUAUAAAGCUUUUAAAACUGCUAGGCUUGAGAGAUGGAAGGGAAAGUGGAAUUCCUAGUGUAGCGGUGAAAUGCGCAGAUAUUAGGAAGAAUACCGGUGGCGAAGGCGACUUUCUGGUCAUCAUCUGACGCUGAGGUACGAAAGCGUGGGUAGCAAACAGG